rnacentral:rRNA from 1 species
UAGUGGCGGACGGGUGAGUAUCGCGUGGGAAUCUGCCCUCAGGAGGGGGAUAACGGUUGGAAACGACCGCUAAUACCCCAUAUGCCGAGAGGUGAAACGAAAUUCGCCUGAGGAUGAGCCCGCGUCUGAUUAGCUAGUUGGUGGGGUAAAGGCCUACCAAGGCAUCGAUCAGUAGCUGGUCUGAGAGGAUGAUCAGCCACACUGGGACUGAGACACGGCCCAGACUCCUACGGGAGGCAGCAGUGGGGAAUUUUCCGCAAUGGGCGCAAGCCUGACGGAGCAACGCCGCGUGAGGGAUGAAGGCCUCUGGGCUGUAAACCUCUUUUCUCAAGGAAGAAGAACUGACGGUACUUGAGGAAUAAGCCACGGCUAA